rnacentral:rRNA from 1 species
AGUGAACGCUGGCGGUAUGCCUAACACAUGCAAGUCGAACGGCAGCACAGUAAGAGCUUGCUCUUACGGGUGGCGAGUGGCGGACGGGUGAGGAAUACAUCGGAAUCUACUUUUUCGUGGGGGAUAACGUAGGGAAACUUACGCUAAUACCGCAUACGACCUACGGGUGAAAGCAGGGGAUCUUCGGACCUUGCGCGAUUGAAUGAGCCGAUGUCGGAUUAGCUAGUUGGCGGGGUAAAGGCCCACCAAGGCGACGAUCCGUAGCUGGUCUGAGAGGAUGAUCAGCCACACUGGAACUGAGACACGGUCCAGACUCCUACGGGAGGCAGCAGCGGGGAAUACUGGACGAUGGGCGAAAGCCUGAUCCAGCCAUACCGCGUGGGUGAAGAAGGCCUUCGGGUUGUAAAGCCCUUAUGUUGGGAAAGAAAAGCAGCAGGUUAAUACCCCGCUGUUAUGACGGUACCCAAAGAAUAAGCACCGGCUAACUUCGUG